rnacentral:tRNA from 1 species
GCAGGCUUUAGUUAAAGCACUUGGUUGCUAACCAAAAGGUCAGUGGUUCAAACCCAGUAGCUGCU